AUUGAACGCUGGCGGCAGGCCUAACACAUGCAAGUCGAGCGGUAGCACAGAGAGCUUGCUCUCGGGUGACGAGCGGCGGACGGGUGAGUAAUGUCUGGGAAACUGCCUGAUGGAGGGGGAUAACUACUGGAAACGGUAGCUAAUACCGCAUAAUGUCGCAAGACCAAAGUGGGGGACCUUCGGGCCUCAUGCCAUCAGAUGUGCCCAGAUGGGAUUAGCUAGUAGGUGGGGUAACGGCUCACCUAGGCGACGAUCCCUAGCUGGUCUGAGAGGAUGACCAGCCACACUGGAACUGAGACACGGUCCAGACUCCUACGGGAGGCAGCAGUGGGGAAUAUUGCACAAUGGGCGCAAGCCUGAUGCAGCCAUGCCGCGUGUGUGAAGAAGGCCUUCGGGUUGUAAAGCACUUUCAGCGGGGAGGAAGGCGUUAAGGUUAAUAACCUUGGCGAUUGACGUUACCCGCAGAAGAAGCACCGGCUAACUCCGUGCCAGCAGCCGCGGUAAUACGGAGGGUGCAAGCGUUAAUCGGAAUUACUGGGCGUAAAGCGCACGCAGGCGGUCUGUCAAGUCGGAUGUGAGAUCCCCGGGCUCAACCUGGGAACUGCAUUCGAAACUGGCAGGCUAGAGUCUUGUAGAGGGGGGUAGAAUUCCAGGUGUAGCGGUGAAAUGCGUAGAGAUCUGGAGGAAUACCGGUGGCGAAGGCGGCCCCCUGGACAAAGACUGACGCUCAGGUGCGAAAGCGUGGGGAGCAAACAGGAUUAGAUACCCUGGUAGUCCACGCCGUAAACGAUGUCGAUUUGGAGGUUGUGCCCUUGAGGCGUGGCUUCCGGAGCUAACGCGUUAAAUCGACCGCCUGGGGAGUACGGCCGCAAGGUUAAAACUCAAAUGAAUUGACGGGGGCCCGCACAAGCGGUGGAGCAUGUGGUUUAAUUCGAUGCAACGCGAAGAACCUUACCUGGUCUUGACAUCCACAGAACUUUCCAGAGAUGGAUUGGUGCCUUCGGGAACUGUGAGACAGGUGCUGCAUGGCUGUCGUCAGCUCGUGUUGUGAAAUGUUGGGUUAAGUCCCGCAACGAGCGCAACCCUUAUCCUUUGUUGCCAGCGGUUAGGCCGGGAACUCAAAGGAGACUGCCAGUGAUAAACUGGAGGAAGGUGGGGAUGACGUCAAGUCAUCAUGGCCCUUACGACCAGGGCUACACACGUGCUACAAUGGCAUAUACAAAGAGAAGCGACCUCGCGAGAGCAAGCGGACCUCAUAAAGUAUGUCGUAGUCCGGAUUGGAGUCUGCAACUCGACUCCAUGAAGUCGGAAUCGCUAGUAAUCGUAGAUCAGAAUGCUACGGUGAAUACGUUCCCGGGCCUUGUACACACCGCCCGUCACACCAUGGGAGUGGGUUGCAAAAGAAGUAGGUAGCUUAACCUUCGGGAGGGCGCUUACCACUUUGUGAUUCAUGACUGGGGUGA
rnacentral:rRNA from 1 species